GGAAGAACUAAAUAUGGAGGGGGAAAAAAACAGAAAAACAGCAGAAAUGUUAGGUAAGGGCAUUACAAUGCUAGGGUCAAGAGUGCCCCCCCCCGCCAUCAUUCACAUCCACCCGGAACCUCAGAAUCUGCCCUGAUUUGGAAAUGAAAUCUUUGCACAUUGGGAACAUCCUACAACACACCCUGUCUAUGCAGCAAGGGGAGCUGUUUGGGGCGAGGGAUGAAGACCUCCCCGGUGGGGCCUGGUGGUUGACUCCUUGACGUUGAAAUAGGACGAUUCCGAUGCGGGUGGUUCCCAAGAUGAACCCGGAGGGCAAGGAGCCAUUUUCAAGCCAUCUCGGACCCUCCCGUCCAGGUGGCGGUCUGCUGGUGAAUUGUCCUCCCACCAGUUCACGCCCCCAGUUGACCCAUCUCUGGUCAUAGUCGGAGAAGCAUAAGCACCAAGUGCGUUCUUGUCGCCCACGCGCCAACGGGAUCAUUUCAGCAGACACCGACAGACUUCAUGGAGACAGCGGGUGGCUAUAGAAUGUCGGAGCAACCAACUGUAGAUCCUGCACACCCGACAUGAUUAAUGGCGGAGGAAGUCUUUGCAGAGACAAAUGGGGUCGUUUCCCCAGAAGACAGGCCAUCUGGCUGCCUUUGGAACCAACAAAAACAAGAAUCGUCCCCGGCGCUCUGUGUCUUGGUCAUCUGGGGCUCCCAUCAUCUUUAGGGGACAUUUGGUCCCGUCCAGAACGUCCAUGAGACGCUUGGUCCAUGAUAUAUCUGGUCUACACCAAAGGUCCUUGAAGUCUGGUCCAGUCCAGAACGUCCAUGAGACACUUGGUCCAUGAUCUAUUGGGUCUACACCAAAGGUCCUUGAAAUCUGGUCCAGUCCAGAGCGUCCAUGAGACGCUUGGUCCAUGAUAUAUCUGGUCUACACCAAAGGUCCUUGAAAUCUGGUCCAGUCCAGACAUCCAUGAGACGCUUGGUCCAUGAUAUAUCUGGUCUACACCAAAGGUCCUUGAAAUUUGGUCCCGUCCAGAACGUCCAUGAGACACUUGGUCCAUGAUCUAUUGGGUCUACACCAAAGGUCCUUGAAAUUGGUCCUGUCCACAUUUGAUCCACAUCAAUAGGUCCUUCGUAUCUGGUCAUACUUGGUUCUGUCCAAAACGUCUAUGGAGACAUUUGUUCUGCCCCAAAAGGUCCUUCGUAUUUCGUGCUCCUCUAAGACCAUUUGGCGUGGACUGAAUACUCUCAUGGCCUGCGCUCACUGCCUCCCGUCUCUGCAAACGCUCCCUCCUUCCUCGUGUCGUCUUCCACCAUCUUGUCUCCACAAGUCGCUGCCCGUCUUCCCGAGGGCAAAUUCUUGUCAAGAUUAUGACUCCUCCCUUCAGGUCCAAACUCCAAUUAAAACGACCGGCUGUUCAAACAGGGGGAAAUUAGUGUCCACCCUGAAAAGCAGCUUGGGGUGGCGCUCCGAUACCCAAAACGUGGAAGGGUGUUAGCUGGACGUGGCUCAGCAUAAAACAGAGCAAAACACAAACCAGAGUUAUCGAAAAAGGAAGAACAGAUUUUAGUUAAAAAAAAAAAAUAUAUAUAUAUAUAUAUAUAUGAUACAUAAGAUUUCCAAGAUUCAGAGGAAAUUGGAACAUUGGAUUCUAAGAAAUGAGCAAACUGACAUAAUGGUCUGCACAAAAUAGAAAAAAAAUACCAUGACUGCUGAGUUAAAAAUAUCGAUGUGGGCAGUUUGCACUCUGAGAAAUCAAAUUUUGGGAAAACAGAAAACCGACAAUGAGAGAAUGUUUCCGGCAUGCAGAGGAAAGCAUAAAACGCUGGGGGGAAAGCAAAAUAAGAGGAAAAUAGCGAUAUUGAGAUAAUUUCCGAAAUCCAACUUGUGAGAAGGAGCAUUUUCUCCCAAGGAAUUUGGGAUCGAGGGGUCGGAAGCGAUCAUUAUAGAAAUUGCAGAAGAUGAGUAUGGUCAGACGUAAAAACUGAAAAGUGACGAUACGCGGAGUUCUCAGUGAAAACUGGAAAGAGAACCAGUUCUGGACAUAUGGUGGUGGCAUUUGUCCAAAAAAAAAAAGAUAAAAUAAAAUUCCACAAAUAUUCACUCUGUUUCACUCCAUCAUCGUGCAGGGCUGGAAAGUCACCUGGCAGAUGGGAAACCGAUUUCUACGUAAACGAGUGAAUAUUGCCCGGAAAUAGAUUUCUCCCCUAAAUCAGGCUGUUUUGGGCACGGUCUCGAUUCUCGCCUCCAGAGCCAUCAGACGAUGUCAAGAGGCUUUCUUCUUAAUCCAGACGUCAAAAAACAUCAAAAAAAAAAAAAAAAAACAAGAGUGAGACAUUAUAAUUCUCAAAUAUUUUAGCUAAACUCAGGGGGCACCCGGCUCAAACCCGUGUUCGGAUCCAUCGAGCCGUGUGGGACAGGAACCAAUACCCUUAACGGGGAUUUUCUGACUUUGGGACCAAACGGUUUGCGUAUUCCUUCUCUGAGGGACGAAAACGAGAUUAGUCGAUCGAAAUCUGUUCGAUUUGGUGCUCCUCCGAGCGUGGGAAACGCCGUUCCACGACAAAAUUUAGAAUAUGGGAAGUCUUUUUAAGAAUUAGACUAUUUGCUAAAAAUCCCUUUACCUGGCGCGUGCCACCAAAAAUUGUGCUUCUUCGAGAAAGAGGCCCGAGGCGAGCGAUGGUGGGAACCCGGCGUCCGCGACUCGGCUGAAAUGUCUCAUCUUUUGUGAUUUCAGAAAUUUCAGCGUCGUCCCUUUACCUCAUGGAGGACCCUACUCAGUAGUUAGAAAGCGGAACUGUGAUCAAGACGAGUGGGAGGAGGAGGAGGAGGAGGAGUUGUAGGAGUAAUAGCAG
ensembl:lncRNA